ACUAAAACUAGCCCAACCUCACCCACAAAUAAUCAACCUACAAAUUUUGAAUCAAACCAUUUACCACUUGACAACAGUAUAGGAGAUAGAAAUUUUAAUCGGCGCUAUAGAGAAAGUACCGUAAGGGAAAGAUGAAAGAACACUUUAAAAGUAUAUAAAAGCAAAGUUCAUCCCUUGUACCUUUCGCAUAAUGACUUAACCAGAAUAACUUGACAAAAAGAACUUCAGCCAACAAACCCGAAACCGGACGAGCUACUCACAAAUAGUUACAAAGAACACACUCAUCUAUGUGGCAAAAUAGUGAGAAAAUUUAUGAGUAGAGGUGAAAAGCCUAUCGAGCCCGGUGAUAGCUGGUUGUCCAGGAAAGAAUUUUAGUUCAACUUUAAAUUUACUUAAAGUACUCAAAACUUAACGUAAAUUCAAAUGUUAAUCUAAAGAGGGACAGCUCUUUAGAAUCAGACUACAACCUUUAGUAGAGAGUAAAAAAAUUAAUCCUCAUAGUUGGCCUAAAAGCAGCCACCAAUUAAGAAAGCGUUCAAGCUCAACCUAUCACACCUAACCAAUCCUAAACCUAUAUAACAAUCUCCUACUAACCUACUGGACUAAUCUAUUACCAAAUAGAAACAUUACUGUUAAUAUAAGUAACAAGAACCCUAAUUCUCCUAGCACAAGCCUAUAUCAGACCGAAUACUCACUGAUAAUUAAUCAAAAAGAUAAAACAAAUCACAAAUUUAAUAAAUAUUACCAAAACAACUGUUAACCCGACACAGGCGUGCACAAAGGAAAGAUUAAAAAGAGCAAAAGGAACUCGGCAAAAACUUAACCCCGCCUGUUUACCAAAAACAUCACCUCUAGCAUAACUAACAUUAGAGGCACUGCCUGCCCAGUGACAUACGUUCAACGGCCGCGGUACCCUGACCGUGCAAAGGUAGCAUAAUCACUUGUUCUUUAAUUAAGGACUAGAAUGAAAGGCCACACGAGGGUUAAACUGUCUCUUGCUCUCAAUCAGUGAAAUUGACCUUCCCGUGAAGAGGCGGGAAUAUAAUAAUAAGACGAGAAGACCCUAUGGAGCUUAAAUCAACUAACCCAAUAGUAUAAACAUAAUUAACCUACAACAGGCAUAAACAUCUAUUAACUCUGGGUUAAAAAUUUCGGUUGGGGUGACCUCGGAGUAAAAUAUAUCCUCCGAAUAAUUUUAGCCUAGACCUUACCAGUCAAAUCAUAAAUUCAUACCUAAUUGACCCAAACUAUUUUGAUCAAUGGAACAAGUUACCCUAGGGAUAACAGCGCAAUCCUAUUAUAGAGUCCAUAUCAACAAUAGGGUUUACGACCUCGAUGUUGGAUCAGGACACCCUAAUGGUGCAACCGCUAUUAACGGUCCGUUUGUUCAACGGUUAAAGUCCUACGUGAUCUGAGUUCAGACCGGAGCAAUCCAGGUCAGUUUCUAUCUAUUUGAUAUUCCUCCCAGUACGAAAGGACAAGAGAAAUAGAGCCAACUUAACACAAGUGCUCUUAAUCCAAUAGAUGAAAAAAACUUAAUCUAAUAUAUUACCCAAUAUCCUUCCCAAGAUCAGGAUUC
rnacentral:rRNA from 1 species